ACCACCCCUGGGUUCCCUCCCGGGUCCGCAGUGGAAACACUGCCCUCUCCCUUCUUGACCCCUAGCCCUUCCUUCCCUCCCUCCUUCCCUCCUGUCGCCGUCUCUUCUGGCGCCGCUGCUCCCGGAGGAGCUCCCGGCACGGCGAUGGGUUCUCGGGCCUCCACGUUACUGCGGGACGAAGAGCUCGAGGAGAUCAAGAAGGAGACCGGCUAGAUGGAGUCUUGUUAUUUUGUCGAGGCUGGUCAUAAACUCCUGGCCUCAAGUGAUUCUUAGGCCACUUCAACCUCCCAAAGCACGGGGAUUACAGUUUCCCACAGUCAAAUCACUCGCCUCUACAGCCGGUUCACCAGCCUGGACAAAGGAGAGAAUGGGACUCUCAGCCGGGAAGAUUUCCAGAGGAUUCCAGAACUUGCCAUCAACCCACUGGGGGACCGGAUCAUCAAUGCCUUCUUUCCAGAGGGAGAGGACCAGGUAAACUUCCGUGGAUUCAUGCGAACUUUGGCUCAUUUCCGCCCCAUUGAGGAUAAUGAAAAGAGCAAAGAUGUGAAUGGACCCGAACCACUCAACAGCCG
rnacentral:lncRNA from 10 species